rnacentral:misc_RNA from 2 species
ACACCUCAACUCUCAUGGCUUGCCAUGAUGAGCUUGGACUUUGGGGGUCUUGCUGGCCUAUGUGUUGGCUCCUCUUAAAUGAAUCAGCUUGCCAGUGUUUGGUGGCAUCACAGGUGUGAUAAAUGUCUACGCUUGUGGUUUUCUGCCAGAUAACCUUCAGUGGAUGGGGGUUCGCUGGGGCUCAUAAAUGUCUCUCCUCGGUGAGGACAGCUCUUUGAAC